rnacentral:rRNA from 1 species
GGGGGGGGGGGGGGGGGGGGGGGGGGGGGGGGGGGCGGGGGGAGGGGCGGGGGGGGUGCGCCUCUGGCGUGGGCGGCGGGCGGGUGGGUACCCCGGGGCUGACCUACCUAUACGACUGGGAUCCCUUCGGGGAACCGGCGCUGAUACCGGCUACUAUAUUGAACCGCAUGGUUCCAUAGUGAAAGCCGGUUUUGCUGUCACUUAUAGAUUGGUCCGCCCCGCAGUAGCUAGUUGGUAAGGUAACGGCUUACCAAGGCAACGCUGCGUAGCCGACCGGAGAGGGUGAUCGGCCACACUGGAACUGAGACACGGUCCAGACUCCUACGGGAGGCAGCAGUAGGGAAUCUUCCGCAAUGGGCGAAAGCCUGACGGAGCAACGCCGCGUGAGUGAUGAAGGUCUUCGGAUCGUAAAACUCUGUGAUUAGGGAAGAACAAAUGUGGAAGUAACUAUGCACGUCUUGACGGUACCUAAUCAGAAAGCCACGGCUAACUACGUG